ACAGCAGUCGCCGCGGUAACACAGAGGGUGCGAGCGUUAAUCGGAUUUACUGGGCGUAAAGCGUGCGUAGGCGGCUUUUUAAGUCGGAUGUGAAAUCCCUGAGCUUAACUUAGGAAUUGCAUUCGAUACUGGGAAGCUAGAGUAUGGGAGAGGAUGGUAGAAUUCCAGGUGUAGCGGUGAAAUGCGUAGAGAUCUGGAGGAAUACCGAUGGCGAAGGCAGCCAUCUGGCCUAAUACUGACGCUGAGGUACGAAAGCAUGGGGAGCAAACAGGAUUAGAUACCCCAGUAGUCCCUGUCUCUUAUAC
rnacentral:rRNA from 1 species